ACCCAGGACGGCUGGACUUCUAGAAGGAGGCCAAGCUUCCAAGUAGGGGACCAGAGUCUUGGGCUAGGCUUUGCCCUCCUUCCCUGAAAAUGUACACAAUGUACCUGGUUCACCUCCAUUUUUGUGUUCAUUCAUUCAUUCCUUCAUUCAGCAAUGUUACUAAGCAUCUAGUAAGUUCUAGGCACUGUUCUAGGCUCUGGUGAUGAGUAAGAUGGCCACUGCUCUCUCAUGGAGCUUAUAAUCGGGGAAGCAGACGAGUGAUAACCACACACAAUGAGUAUGCUGAUAGGAGACAUCCAGGCACUGCAGGAGCAUGGGGUCUUAUGGUCGGAGUUGGGCUGGGAACUCCCCCUUGGACAAAUUCCAUCAGAGACUCCAAGACAAGCAGUUGAACAGUGCCAAGGAGUGCUCAGGAUAGCCCAGGAACAGGCCGACUAGACCCUCUUGCUCUCUCAGCUGUCUCCGUUCCAGCAUCUAGCCUAGUUUCCCAUCCCUGGAACUCCCUUGUACUUUUCCCACUUGGAGCGUGGGAUGCUGUGUUAUACCCUAGUCAGGAGGAGGUAAGGUAUGCUGCAGUAACAAGAAGUCAUAAAAUCCCAGUGGCUGGACAGGUGCAGUGGCUCACACCUGUGAUCCCAAAACUUUGGGAGGCCAAGGUGGGCAGAUAGCUUGAGGCUAAGAGAUUGAGACCAGCCUGGGCAACAUGGUGAAACUUUGUCUCUACUAAAAAUACAAAAAUUAGCUGGGCAUGGUGGCAUGCACCUGUAGUCCCAGCUACUCGGGUGGCUGAGCACGAGAAUUGCUUGAACCCAAGAGACAGAGGUUGCAGUGAGCCGAGACUGCGCCACUGCACUCCAGCCUGGACAACAGAGUGAGACUCUGUCUCAAAAAAAUAAAUUAAAAGGCCGGGCAUGGUGUCUCAUGCCUGUAAUCCCAGCACUUUUGAGAGGCCGAAGCGGGCAGAUCACGAGGUCAAGAGAUUGAGACCAUCCUGGCCAACGUGGUGAAACCCCGUCUCUACUAAAAAUACAAAAAUUAGCUGGGCAUGGUGGCACGCGCCUGUAGUCCCAGCUACUCGGGAGGCUGAGGCAGGAGAAUUGCUUAAACCCAGGAGGCAGAGGUUACUGUGAGCUGAGAUCGUGCCACUGCACUCUAGCCUGGCGAUAGAGCAAGACGCCGUCUCAAAAAAAAAAAAAAAAAAAAUUAAAAAGGAAAUCCCAGUGGCUUACAAGUACUAGGCUUCCUUAUGCCCAAUACAUGUCGACUGCACAUUGUGAGUUGGUGGGGGCUCUGCUGUGCAUCAGCGUUGUCUUUGCUUCAGCAUGGCUUUUGGGAACAUUUCUGGCCACAGUGGCAGAGGGAAAGAGAGGCUUAAGUGAGCCCGGCCUUGGUAUUAAAUGUCCUAGUUGGGAAGUGACACACAUCAUUUCUGUCCAGAAGUCAUAGAUGGGGCUGUCUGCCAGUCACACAGCCUCACCUAGCCACACAGCUGGGAAGAGCAAUCCUGCUAGGAGCUCAGAAGAGGGGAAAGGGCUGCAGAGUUUGGUGCCAGAGAUGCUCAGGUCUGGAGUGCCCACUUCCCCCCUAACCUGGUCCCUGAUCACCUGCUGGCCCCUCUAAGAAACCUUCCCUGACCACCCUGGGUCCUGGGUGUUUUGAGGAGGCAGGAGAAACAGAAGCACAGGUGUCCCAUGUUUCUCUCUGGGCCAGGAAGGUAGAGGGACUAGGGACUUUGGAGGGGAAGAAACAUGCCUGGGGAAAGGAGUUCCAUUUUAGGCAUGUUGAGAUUGAAGUGCCUCUGGGACAUCUAGGUUUAGGAGGAUGGUCAGUAUUAGAGGUGGAGUAAUAGUUGAAUCAGGUGGAAUAAUAGUAAUAGCAGAUCACCUUUAUCAAGCACUUGCAUGAGCCAGGCGCUGUGCUAAGCACUCUGCAUGCAUCAUCUCAUUAAUCUUUGAAAUAAUCCUAUGAGGGAAACACUAUUUUUAUGCCAUUUUACCGAUGAGGAAAAUGAUGCUCAGAGAGGUUAGGUAAAUUGCCCAAGGUCCCACAGCUCCUAAGAGACAGAGAUAAGACUGAACCUGGGCAGUCAGACUGCAGAGCAGAGAAGAGGGGAGGGAGAGGGCCGAACCAUGGGGCAGGCCUACCCGUGUGGGGAAGGAGAAAGAGGAGAGACCAGCAGAGGGAGAAAGGGCAGGAGACAGGAAGCCAGCACUAACCACAUGCCAGGUGCUGGGCUGGUGCUUGGCAUAUGUGGCCUUAGUUAGCGCCUGUGGAACAAAAAGACUAAGUUCAGAUGGCAGGAAUAGAAAUGGGAGCAGAAACAGGGAAGGAAGCCAGCCAAAGGAGCAGACAUUCACAAGCAGGAGGUGUCACCAGCAGUGAUGGAUGCUGCAGGAAGGCCAAGAAAGAUGUGGCCCAAAGGCUGUUAGACUCAGGGAUGGGAGCUUGUCAAGAGAAGGCUUUCUGCUGUGCAUGGGGCCAGGAGCCAGAUUGCACAAGAUUGAGGAUAGGUGGGUGGUAAGGAAGCGGAGGCAGGAGUGUGUUACUAUUUCCUGUGAAGGAAGGGAUGGGAGAGAACAGGAGCUGGAGGGCUGAGCAGGCCCAGAGCCAGGCAGGGCUGGUCCUUUACCAAGGAGGAAAUGUCAGAAAUGGGCCUGUGGCUGGAUAAGGGCCAUGGGUGCCUUGCCUAUUCCGCUUGGACCCUCUUCCUGCCAACUCGAUAGAAACCCCCUCAUUGCAUGGAGUCCAGAUUACGUAUUAUCUCUAGGAAGCCUUUCCUGACCCCACCUUACUAGGAGUGAUUCCCACCCUCCUCUGAACCCCUGCAUUAUCCAGCAUCUGUUUUUCCAUGUGACAUCAAUCCAGGAGUGUAAUGAUAUAAUAACAGUGCCACGUUAUGUGCCACACACUGUGCUGAAUACCUUAAAUGUGUUCUUUCAUUUAAUACUCAUGACAACCUGUGAUGCGUAGGUGGUCUCAUGGGGUUCCUAGCCAUGCCUUUAGUAGCUAUUUACAUAGCUGUGUGUCUGUAUUUUCCUCACUGUGAGAUUGUAGUUUCCUAAGAGAAGGGUCUCUGACUUCUCUCUGAAUCCCAGUGUCUAGGACUCAUUCCUUCAGUAUUGGGUACCUACUGUGUGCCAGGCACAUAGUUGUUUGUGUUGGGGGAGGUAGACCAUGGAAUGGAUAAAGGAGGAUUCAGAUUCAGCAUAAGUUCUAUACAGAGGAGCAUCUGUGCUGUGGGAACACAGGAGAGCACAACUGUGCACUGCAGUGGUGACAUUUUGCAAUGGGUCUUGAAGAUCGUUUAGGAGUUUGCCAAGGAAAUGGGCUGGAGGAGAUAGUUCCAGCAUACAGAGUGUAUUAUUAAGGGAACAGUGAGAAGCUCAGAUAGGACUUGGGACUCAUGCAGGGGAAGGUUAUGAUACAAGGCUGGAGGGACAUGUUGGCAGCAGUCCGUAAGUUGCCUUUACUAAGCUGCAGAGGUCGGGGAGAGGAGGAGCACUCGGGAAGGAACUUACUUCCAGCCGGCACCAUUGAAUUUAGUGAUUCGCGUGACCUCUCCUGUAGGACGCAGGCUCACUGUUAAGGAUGUCAGCUGUAGCAUCUGAGCAGUGCCACAGACAAGUUGGCCCAGGCCCUGUGCUUUCCCUUGACAGGGAUCCUGCCCCUUCUCACUGAAUGGUCACCUCUGCUCAGUAGUUUGCCCCUUUCCUGCCACCUCUGACCUCCAGAGGCUAUAUGCUAUAUGUAUAUGCUAACUGCUCUGUACACAUCAAGGGAGUGUGCUUCCUAUCUUUUUUUUAAAAAAAUAGGUAAAAGUAUUCAUAUAGUUCAAAAAUAAAAAAUAUAUAAAAAGGUUUAAAUUGAGAAUUAUGCCCCACCCACUACAGUAACUAAUUUUAUAAAUCUCUUGUGUAUCCUUAUAGAGUUUCUGUAGGAGAAUAUAAACAAAUACUUUUUCUUGCACAAAAGGUGGCAUACAGUACAUUCCUUUUUUACCUCCUAAUGUGUCUUAGAGAUCAUUUUAUAUCAAAUUUAUCUAUAUCUAGACAUUAUAUCUGGGUAUAAAUUAUAGACUUAUUUCUGAGUCUGUAUCUGUAUCAGAUAUUUCUUUCUUUCUCUUUUUUUUUUUUUUUUUUUUUUUUUUGAGACAGAGUUUUGCUCUUUUUGCCCAGGCUGGAGUGCAGUGGCGUGAUCUCAGCUCACUGCAACCUCCGCCUCCCGGAUUCAAGUGAUUCUCCUGCCUCAGGCUCCCGAAUAGCUGGGAUUAUAGGCAUGCACCACCACACUCGGCUUAUUUUUGUAUUUUGAGUAGAGACGGGGUUUCACCAUGUUGGCCAGGCUGGUCUCGAACUCCUGACCUCAGGUGAUCCACCCUCCUCGGCCUCCCAAAAUGCUGGAAUUAUAGGCAUGAGCCACCAUGCCUGGCCUAUAUCAUUUUACUUAACAGCUGUAUUUAGUCUUCCAUGAUGUGACACACACUAACUUAUUAACCAGUCUCCACUUGAUUGAUAUUUUGGUUGUUUCCAAUCUUCUGUGACUGCAGACAAUACUAUACUUAAUAAUCUUGUGUGUGUUACUUUGUAUAUGUGAAAGAGAAAUUCUCCUAAAUGUAAGCAUUGGAUCAAAAGAUAAAUGCCUUUCUAAUUUUGAUAGACAUGGCCAAAUUGUUCAUAAGGGUUUUACCAAUUUAUACUCCCACAUGUCGUUAGACUGCCUCCUUCACCAUAGACUUGCCAAAAGUGUGCUGUAUAUUUGUUGUAUGUUUUUGUCAUUGGGGUAGGUGAGAAGUGGUAUCUCAGUGGAGUUCUGAUUUGUAUUUCUCUGUGAUUAUGAAUGAGGCUGAGCAUUAUCCAUAUCUUUAGGAUUCUGUAUUGGGUUCUGUUUGGGGGUCUUGGGAGACUAGGAUAUUCACCCCAUUUCCCAGAUUUGGAAGCUCAGGCCGUGGAGCUCCACGUAAAUGGAGCUAGACCUGAAGUGUGACCGGCUCCAUAGCCCACCCUUACUUGCUUUGCAGACAAGCAUGAGACGAAGCUGAAGGGAGUCAUCUAUUUCCAGGCCAUUGAGGAAGUGUACUACGACCACCUGCGCAGUGCAGCCAAGAGCCCGAACCCAGCCCUCACCUUCUGCGUAAAGACCCAUGACCGACUGUACUACAUGGUGGCCCCAUCUGCAGAGGCCAUGCGUAUCUGGAUGGAUGUCAUUGUCACAGGGGCUGAGGGCUACACUCAGUUCAUGAACUAACUGCCAUGGGCCUCCUGGCAGAGCACAACUGGGGCUUUUGUAUAAGAAGACUUUAAUAUUCUGUAAGGAGCUUGGUCCUGUGAGUUUCUGGGCUCUGGCCUCCUGAAGAACCAGCCAGAAGAAGAAAAGUAGAGGUGGCUUUGCUGCCUCCUGGGAACCCAGAACUUGCAGUAACCCUUUAGGGUCCUGCCCCAGGCCCAGCCAGGGCUGAGGAGCUGUCACAGAGAGGGCCUCAGCUCCGACCUGACACCUGCUCUCCCCAGCCUGUUUUCUCUUUUCUAAAAGACAAAUUAUGGUACCAUAAGCUGCCAAAGAUCCCCUCCUGCCUCAGACCCCUUUGCCAGGGGCUUUGGGGGCUGAGCAGAGCCACAUCCAGAGUGGGGUAAUAGCUCAGGCGGCCCGCUUCCCAUUUCUCAAACCCCGCUCUGCCCCAUUGUUCUCCUUUCCCUUAUACUUUUUAUUACCUUGCUCAAGGGCCAGAGAUCUCAAGUGUCAACCUUGAGGUCCCAGCUCCAUCCCCUAGUUGCAGACUCAUCACCAUGGUUACCAUAGUGACUGCUUCAUUGCCAUGGUUACAUACUAAUUGCUGCAGCUCUGUGGCCCAGCCCACUGCUUCAGCUGUGGGCCAUCUGAGGGUACGUGCCAUCAUCUCUCCAGCCCAGGCCCC
rnacentral:sRNA from 1 species